rnacentral:rRNA from 1 species
CCUACGGGAGGCAGCAGUGGGGAAUAUUGCACAAUGGGCGAAACCCUGAUGCAGCGACGCCGCGUGAGUGAAGAAGUACUUCGGUAUGUAAAGCUCUGUCAGCAGGGAAGAAAGUGCCGGUACCUAAUUAAGAAUCCCCGGCUAACUACGUGCCAGCAGCCGCGGUAAUACGGAGGGGGAACGCGUUCACCGGAAUUACUGGGUGUAAAGGGAACGUAGACGGCAGUGCAAGUCUGGAGUGAAAGGCGGGGGCUCAACCCGCGGACUGCUCUUGAAACUGGACGGCUGGAGUGCAGGAGAGGUUAGUGGAAUUCCUAGUGUAGGGGUGAAAUGCGUAGAUAUUAGGAGGAACAUCAGUGGCGAAGGCGACUUACUGGAAUGUAACUGACGCUGAGGAGCGAAAGCGUGGGGAGCAAACAGGAUUAGAUACCCUGGUAGUC